CCAGAACUAGCUGCAGCAGGAUGCUUCUGCCAUCCUGGGCCGAAAAGGGAAAAGGGCAAGACUAUGUUACCAGAGCCUUAUGAGGAUCUCCAUUGACCAAAGCAAACUGAAACAAGCAACAGUCAUGGGAGUCCAGAGGUCCCAUAGGUUGGAGCUCACAACUUCCUCUCAGCACAACCAGACCCAGGGCCUUAGGAGGGGCACAGCUGCCUCAGCGCUU